rnacentral:lncRNA from 1 species
UUAUUUUGAGCUAUGAAAUUUCAUUCCACUUAAUUCUCUUUGAAUUUUAGUAAGGAGAAAAUAUUCUUUUUUAUAGAUUAGGGUAGGAUUUGUUUGUGAUUCACAUUCACUAUAUUCUCUGAUGAAAACAAAAAGAUGUAUAUUUGAUCUUUUUUUUUUUUGAGUGAGGCUUAAAUUUGAUCGAAGGAUCAAGAGCUGAACUUUUGUAUUUGAUGGGGUGCUGAAGGGAAGAAAAGAAAAAAAUCCUUUUUUUUUUUGCUAAUAAGAAAAAAGUCUAUGGUUGUAAAUUUCAUAGCUUGUAAUUUAUGCAUAAUUUUCAGAGCAUAAUGAAAAAAAAAUAUAGUGUAUAAUUUUUCGACCCUGAUACUGGUACAACUAAUAGUUGUUCAUUCGGUGCAUCAAUUAUUUGAUAUAUUUGACCUUCAAUCUCUUAAUCUAAUCCCAAGUAGUUUUCUUGUUUUGACUUUCAUUUCCUUUUGAAUUUUUAAAAAUGUCUCUCUCAAAUAGAGAAUCAUAAGAAAGGCAGUGAAAGAUUAAUAUUUAAGGGUCGUUUGGUAAGAGGAAUUUGGAACAAUAUUUAAAUGAAGAGAUUAGGAAUAGUAAUCAUCGCCAUAAUUAAGAGUGUUUGGCUGAUUGUACAAAAGCAAAUAAUCCAUGCAUACUUAAUACUAUAACGUUAAAGAAUACUCAUUAUUGAAUUAUGCGAAAAUUUAUGAGAAAUAUAUUGUGGAAUAAAAUUAUGUACAUCGAUAUAAUAAUACAUAGAAAAACUUUUUUAAAGACAAAAGAUAUCUAAGAUAUAGGUAAUACCUGCAUAAUAGUCAUUGCAUUGUGUAACAAUUCAUAAAUUAUUAUAUAUCUUAUAAAUAAUCGCUUGAUUAAACGGAUAAACAAUCAAGUAUUAUAAUCUCCUAUUAAUUAGCAUGUGAACCAAAUUAUUCCUUAAUUAAGCUAGCUGAACGAUCUGAAGCUCAAAGGCACAUGGCGUUCCAAACUGUUGGUAUUUGGUUCAAUUUUUAAAAAAGGGUUUUCGCGAAAGAACAAUCAAUGUAAUGCAAAAAUUGUAUUUCAAGCAAUCUUCGAAAAAGAAGUGUUCCUUUUAGUUGGUGUUUUUUGUUCUGCUAAAGGAGUGUAUUUUAGACCAAUUAGGGAAAAUGACUUGCGUUAUUCAUUCGUAUAAUUACUUUUUAUAAUUGCUUUAACUUUGACUUAGUGGAAUUUAAGAAAGCGGCAUACCUGCGGAUAUUGGAGAGCGUGGACGAGAAGAAAAAGAGGAUGAAUAGGGAGUAGUAUAAGAUAGCUAAGAAGGAAGCAAAGUUAACGGUCACAACUACAAGACUGAUGCGUUCGAACGCUUGUACGAAGAACUUGGAGGCAAAGGGGGGGGAUAAAAAUUGUACAGACUAGCCAAGGUGCGAGAAAAGAAAGCAUGUGACUUGGACCAAGUGAAGUACAUCAAGGACGAGGAAGGCAUAGUUUUGUUGGAUGAGGCACUCAUUCCCCGAAAAUGACAGACUUACUAUAUAAACUCUUGAACAAAGAGGGAGGUAGGAACAUUGAGCUAGGUGACUUAGAGCACUCGGAGAGUCAUCGGACUUUGGGUAUUGUAGGCGCAUAAGAGCCGAGGUGUUAUACCCCCUGGUAAAAGAGAUCUAUCCAUUUUAGCCACCCUUUCUAUUACUGAUCUAGUUGCUCUUGCUAUCUAACCCGCCACUUUAUUAUAUGAUCUUUUAUUGACUUCAAAAAGUCAAUUUUUUUCUUUUUCUCGGGCCGACUUCAUACAUUCUAUUACUUAUAGAAAUAGUCAUGCCAAUCUUCUCGGUAAAGAAGAACUCUUUCGCACGAUCUUAAGAGAGCCUAGUUCCACAAGAGCCUUAUCACGAGCCUUUACUUGAUGAAAGGCGCCCUGUAAGAUGCGCUAUAUCGACAAGGCGAGGAGAAAGCAGCCUAAUGGGAAUAGCUCCAAACCAAAGCAGCCCUCCAUCUCGCAUAUAGAAAUGGUUGACAGGCAUACCUAUUCAUUAACCCGCCACUUUAUUAUAUGAUCUUUCAUUGACUUCAAAAAGUCAAUUUUUUUUCUUUUUCUCGGGCCAACUUCAUACAUUCUAUUAGGAGGCUAUGCAUAAGAUGAACAAGGGGAGAGCGACAGGUCAAGACGAGAUCCUGGUGAAAUUUUGGAAUAGUGUGGGUAGGGAGGGCUUGGAGUGACUCACUUAGUUAUUUAAUGUCACUUUUAGGAUGAAGAAGAUGCCUGAAGAAUGAUAAAGGAGUACGGUAGUCUCACUAUAUAAGAACAAGGGUGAUAUCCAAAGUUGAAACAACUAUCAGAGUAUCAAGUUACUGAGCCAUACUAUGAAAGUCUGGGAGAGAGUGGGGAAAUGAGGUUGAGGAGGAUCGUGACAAUUUCUGAAAACCAGUUCAGAUAUAUGACGAGACAUUCGACUGCAAAAGUUAUCCAUCUUGUUAGGAGGUUGAUGGAUCAGUAUAGGGAGAGGAAGAUGUAUUUACACAUGGUGUUCAUCGGCUUAGAGAAGGCUUCCGAUAAAGUACCGAUAGAGGUUCUAUGGAGAUGUUUGGAGACUAGAGGUAUUCUUAUUGCAUAUAUUAGGAAAAUUAAGGAUAUGUAUGAUGGAGCUAAGACUCAGGUGAGGACCAUGAGAUGGGAUUCGGAAAACUUCCUUGUUAUGAUGGGGUUGCACAAGGGGUCGACCCUCAACCCAUUUUUAUUUGUCUUGGCGAGCGACGCUGUGACGGACCACACUCAAAGAGAGGUAUCGUGGUGCAUUUUAUUUGUAGAUGAUAUUGUACUAAUUGAGGAGACGCGAGGCAGUGUUAACGCGAUGUUAGAGGUUUGGAGGCAGACCCUAGAGUCUUAAGGUUUCAAGUUGAGGAGGACGAAGAUGGAAUACUUGGAGUGCAAGUUCAAUUGUGCGUCUCAUGUAGUGGAUGAAGAUGUGAGGUUUGAUUCUCAAGUCAUCCCUAGGAGAGAAAGUUUUAAAUACUUGGUUCAGUUAUUCAAAGGAAUAUGGAGAUCCACAAGGAUGUUACACGUCAUAUUGUGGAGGGAUGGAUGAAAUGGAGGCUCGCUUCUAUUGUUUUAUGUGAUAAGAAUGUGCCACUAAAACUUAAUUGUAAGUUCUAUAGAGCGGUGGUCAGACCAGCUAUGUUGUAUGGAUCAGAGUGUUGGCUAGUCAAGAACUCCAAAGUCCAUAAGAUGAAGGUAGCUUAAAUGAGGAUGUUAAGAUGGAUGUGUGGGCAUACCAGGUUAGAUAGAAUUAGAGCUGAUGUUCUUCGGUACAAGGAGGGCAUGACCCCUAUAAAGGACAAGAUGCGGAAGGUGAGACUUGGAUGGUUCAGGCAUGUGAUGAGAAGAGACACAGAUGCUCUGAUGAGGAGUUGCGAGAGGUUGGCCUUGAAGGGCCUGAGAAGAGGUAGAGACAGGCCGAAGAAGUAUUGGGGAGAGGUGAUUAGGCAGGAUAUGACAUUGCUCCAGGUUACUGAAAAUUAACUACCCAUUAAUUUUUCCUCUUUAUUGUUGAGUAAAUAGACAUUUAUAUAAUGACAUUUAUGAUGUGGCCAUUUUUACAGAAACAGUCAUUCUGAAGAGUUGCACCUGUUCAUAUUUCAGCCUAACUUUUGGCUAUAAAUACAAUAUUAUUCCUCAAAAUUUCACUAUGAUUUUUUGAGUUUCUUCUCUUUCUUUUGCAUACUUUUAGCAUCAAACAAAGCAAAAGUAAGUGUGAUUUUCUAUCGAACUUUAUGUUUGCUGAAAUACUGAGGUUUGAAGUACCACUACACUAGUGUGUAAUUCGUUCUAUCUUGGGAGGAAAUAAUUCAUAACCUUGGGUACUAGGAGGGGAUUAAAUUCCUUAAGGAAACACUAUGAAUCCAGUGGGCUCGAAUUGAUUUUAUAUCAUUUCAAUUUAUGUUCAUUUAUGUUUAUAUUUCUUUUUAUUUCCAGAAUUAUUUUAGAAAUACAGUAUACUAACAAGCUUAAGGAGUUUAAUUAUAUUUCUGUAUUUGUACUUAUUAUUUCUGCAGAGUAAAACCUUUGUGGUCUUGUACUCUAUUAAAAUCUACGUGAUUUUAAUGUUGAUGUCAUUCUUUUACAGAAAUGACUAAUGAUAACAGAAACCAAGUUGUUCCGAUGGUGAUAGACAAUGCCUUAAUGAGCCGAACACCUGUAGCAUUGGCACCGGCAGAGAAACCUGAAAAAUUUUCCGGGAUUGAUUUUAAGCGUUUGCAGCAAAAGAUAUUCUUCUACUUGACUACUCUAAGUCUCCAGAAAUUCAUCAAGGAAGAAGUUCCUGUGCUGUCCGAUGGAACUUCAUAAAAUGAACGCUUUCUCGUGACUGAGGCGUGGAAGCAUUCAGAUUUUUUGUGUAAGAAUAAUAUCCUAAGUGGGCUAGAGGAUGCUUUGUAAAAUGUCUAUAGUGGCGUGAAAAUAUCGAAAGAACUGUAGACUGCGCUUGAAAAGAAAUACAAAAUUGAAGAUGCUGGGUUGAAAAAGCUUGCGGCUGCAAAGUUUUUUGGACUAUAAAAUGGUAGAUAACAAGUCUGUUAUUACCCAAGUCCAAGAAUUGCAAGCGACUAUUCACGAUCUCCUUGCUGAAAGUAUAAAUUAAAUUAAUAUUGAUGUUGAAAGUAGUAAUCUUAGUAUUUUUACUAACAAAAAUUUUAUUGAAGGUCUUGUCAUCAAUGAAGCAUUCUAAGAAGCAGCGAUGAUUGAGAAGUUGCCUCCUUUAUGGAAAUACUUCAAAAACUACAUGAAACACAAACGCAAUGAGAUGUCCCUUGAAGAUCUCAUUGUUCGGUUGAGAAUCGAAGAGGACAACAAAUAUGGUAAAAAGAAAGGCCGUGGAAAUUUAACAAUAAUGGGAGCUAAUAUUGUUGAAGAGAACAAAAAGAGAAAGAAGGCUUGUGGACCGAAAUAUUGUUGAAGCGGUUCAGUGGAAAUGGCUACAAAUGUAGAAAGCCCGGACACAAAUCUAUAGAGUGUCGUGCUCCGAAGAAAGACAAGAAGAAGGGUCAAGCAAACAUGGUUGAAAAACAUGAUGAUGUUGAUGACUNNNNNNNNNNNNNNNNNNNNNNNNNNNNNNNNNNNNNNNNNNNNNNNNNNNNNNNNNNNNNNNNNNNNNNNNNNNNNNNNNNNNNNNNNNNNNNNNNNNNNNNNNNNNNNNNNNNNNNNNNNNAUCCGAAUGCAACUUGGUAGGCAAUCCUAAAGAGUGGUGGAUUGAUUCUGGAGCCACUCACCAUGUUUGUGGUGUUAACGAAGCUUUUGCUACUUAUGCUCAUGUUGGACCCGAUGAGACAAUUUCUAUGGGAAAUGCUGCAAAGGCCAAAUUGAAGGAUGUGGGAUGAUAUUUCUCAAAAUGACUUCCGGUAAAGUGGUGACUUUAAACAACGUCCUUCAUGUUCCCGAGAUUAGAAAAAAUUUAGUCUCUACUGAACUUUUUCUUAACAAUGGUUUUAAAUGUGUUUUUGUUUCCGAUAAGGUUGUAACAAAUAAGAAUGAGGUUUGUAGGAAAAGGUUACCUCACCGAGGGCCUUUUCAAGCUAAAUGUAAUGGUUGUGAAAAAUAAUAAUAAAAUUUCAGCUUCAUCUUACUUACUUGAGUCAAAUGAAUUAUGGCAUAUACAUUUGGGUCAUGUCAAUUAUAAAACCUUACGAAAAAUAAUUAAUUUGGAAGUAUUGGCUAAAUUUGAAUGUGACAAAUCAAAAUGUUAAGUAUAUGUGGAAUAUAAGUAUAUUAAACAUCCUGAUAAGUCAAUUGAAAGGAAUAUAAUUUCAAAUAUAUGUGGAAUCUAAGUAUGUUAAACAUCCUUAUACGUCAGUUGAAAGGAAUUCAAAUCCUUUAGACUUUAUUCACACAGAUAUUUGUGACAUGAAGUCAAUACCAUCUCGCAGUAGAAAGAAGUAUUUAAUAACUUUUAUUGAUGACAGUAAUAGAUAUUGCCAUGUUUGCUUACUUAAUAGUAAAGAUGAAGCAAUAAAUGCAUUCAAGCAAUACAAAAUGAAGUUGAAACACAACUUAAUAAGAAAAUCAAAAUGAUAAAACGUGAUAGGGGUGGUGAAUAUGAAUCUCCUUUUGAAUAAAUAUGUUUUAAGGAAUUAUUUAUCAAACAACAGCCCUUUACACGCCCCAAUCGAAUGGGAAUACAAAAAAAAAAGAAUCGUUCAUUAAAGGAGAUGAUGAACACAUUAUUGAUAAGUUCUGGUUUACCACAGAAGUUGUUGGGGGACGCCAUUCUUACGGCUAGCCGAAUACUAAAUCGAGUACCUCAUAACAAAACACAAUCCAUUCCAUAUGAAAAUGAAAAGAGAGGAAGCCCAACUUGAAUUAAUUUAAAGUGUGGGGGAGUUUGGCAAAAGUGCAUGUUCCUAAACACAAAAGGAUAAAAAUAGGACCGAAAAUCGUUGAUUGUAUUUUCAUGGGAUAUGCAACUAAUAGUAAAGCAUAUCGAUUUCUGGUUCAUAAAUCAGAAAAUCUCGACAUUCAUAAUAAUACGGUUAUAGAAUCAGAUAAUAUCGAGUUCUUUGAAAAUAUAUAUAUAUAUAUGUAUAAUAUGAUUAUAGAAUUUAUAGUGCUGAGUUCUUUGAAAAUAUAUAUCCGUAUAAAAAAAUAUGAGUCGAUUGGCGAAGGAUCUAAAUGACCUUUGGAAGAAACAAAAGAAAGUACACUUAACUAGGAGGAUCCAAGACGUAGUAAAUGUCAAAGAACGUCUACUUUGUUUGGACCAGAUUUUGUUACUUUCUUAUUGAAAAAUGAGCCUUAAACAUUUAAAGAAGCUAUGUCUUCUUCGGAAUCAUUGUUAUGGAAUGUGAUAGUCAAUAGUGAAAUAGAAUCCAUACUAAACAACCAUACAUGGGAAUUGGCUGAUCUUCCUUCUGGAAAUAGACCGUUGGGGUUCUAAAUGGAUAUUUAAGAGCAAAAUGAAAGAUGAUGGCACUAUUGAAAAAUAUAAGGCAAGACUUGUGGUCAAAGGAUAUAGACAACAAGAAGGUCUUGACUAUUUUGAUACAUACUCUCCAGUUACAAGAAUUAGGUUCAUACGAAUGUUAGUAGCGUUAGCUACAGUUUAUGGUCUUGAAAUUCAUCAAAUGGAUGUUAAGACGACCUUCUUAAAUGGAGAGUUGGAGGAAGAAAUCUACAAGGAACAACCUGAAGGGUUUGUGGUGCCGGGUAAAGAAAAAAAGGUCUAUAGACUUGUUAUGUCCCUUUACGGACUAAAACAAGCACCCAAACAAUGACAUGAGAAAUUAGACCAAACAAUGUUGUCAAAUGGGAUUAAUAUAAAUGAAUGUGAUGAAUGUGUGUACAUUAAAAAUGUUCCAAAUAAAAUAGUUAUUGUUUGCUUAUAUGUGGAUGAUAUGCUCAUAAUGAGUAAUGACAUUGCUAGCAUAAAUGCUACUAAGUAUAUGCUAACUAGCAAGUUUGAUAUGAAAGACUUAGGAGUUGCUGAUUUAAUUAUGGGAAUUAAGAUCCAUAAAACUUCUCAAGGUCUAGCAUUGUCUCAAUCUCAUUAUAUUAGGACAAAACAUGAAAAAUUCAAGCACUUAGGCUUUAAAGUUGCAAAGACUCCAAUUUUCAUUAUAUUAAGACAAUACUUGAAAAAUUAAAGCACUUGGGCAUUAAAGUUGCAAAGACUCCAAUUGACAUGAAUCUUGCAUUAGCGAAGAACAAAGACCAAAUUAUAUCACAAUUGGAUUGUGCCCGUGUGUUGGGAUACUUAAUGUACAUCAUGAAUUGUACACGACUAGAUAUAGCUUGUGCUAUAAGUAAAUUGAGUCGAUACACGAGUAAUCCUGGUCAAUCUUAUUGGAUGGCCAUGAAAUGAGUUUUGGGGUAUUUAGUACAUACCCAGGACUUUGCUUUGCACUAUAGUAAAUAUUCUGUGGUGAUUGAGGGUUACUGUGAUGCAAAUUGGAUCACCGGAUCAACUGAUUCCAAGUCCACAGGUGGAUAUGUAUUCACUAUUGGUGGAGGAGCGGUAUCUUGAAAGUCGUCCAAACAAACUUGUAUUGCCCCCUAUAUAAUGCAGGCUGAGUUCAUAACCUUAGAUAAAGCCGAUGAAGAAGUUGAAUGGAUCUGAAAUUUCUUGAAAGAUAUUCCAUUUUGGCCCAAACCAUUGGCACCAAUGUGCAUACAUUUUGAUAGUCAAGGGACAAUUGGAAGGGCUGGGAGCAUUAUGUAAAAUGGUAAAUCUCGUCAUAUAUGAUGGAGAUAUAAAACCGUUAGACAAUUACUCUCUAAAGGAAUUAUCAUGAUUGACUAUGUAAAGUCAAGUGAUAAUGUGUCGGAACCACUUACAAAAGACCUAACAAGAGAGGUAGUUGAGAAGUUAUCAAGGGAAAUGGGACUGUGGCCAAGAACAAUUCAUUUAGGCGGUAACUCUACCUAGAAGAAUGGAGAUCCCAAGAUCUAGGUUCAGGUAGAUCAAACAAAGUCAUUAAUGACGGUUUGGUCCAUUCUCGUGAUGAGACAAUGUUCAGUGCCAAGGAUAAAUCACUAAGGCUUUUAAUAAUUUCUAAAUUUGAUACGGGGUAUAUCAAAUAGUGUAUCUACAGGAUGGCAUAUUUAGGAAUCACCUAUGUAAGUGUGAAGUGUUAUCCACUUCAAGGAGAACUUUGUAAAGCCAGUUCUCUAUGCACUUAUGAAAUCAGGCGGUGUUCAUGGAUGAAACGAACACAACAAUGAGAACCUAAGACAGUUAAGGUUUGGUUGUGUGACUUGUGGUUGUCUAGGUAUACAUCAAAUAUCGACGGCUCAAAGAUAUCAAAUCUACCGGUGGAUCGAGUAUAUCCGACAUAAGUUCAACGCGAAAAGUAAAAAGGGAAACCUACUUAUCCAGAUGCAAUUAAUCCUUGCUUGCGAAUCACACAAUUUUUCAUGCAUAUUUCUGUGAUGUAGCCAUUCCCCCUUCAUAUGGGGGGAUUUUUGGGGCUUUUAAGCAUUAAUAUGGCUUAAUAGAGGGUGAAUGGGUAAUGGAGGGAAAUGAAAAUUAUAAGUGAAAAUUUAUCAUUCAUGUGGGGAAUUGUUGGGUUUUGUGUAUUAAAUAUAAAAUUAAAUACUUAAUAGAGGGUGAAUGAAAAAUCGAGGAAAAUGAAAUUUUUUAGUAAACUUUUAAGUUUCCCCCUUUUGUAUAUGUACAUUGUCCCAUAUUGGAAUAGGAAGAGGGUUUUUAUGGAUAUAUAAGCAAUUGCUCUUCUUCUAGAUCUUAAAGAGUUCAGAGGAAAGCAAACCUCGCGCCGUCGUCGUCGCUCGCUCGGCUCAGCUUUUGGCUUCAGCUUUGGCUUCGGCUUCGGAUUCGAAUUCAGAUUUGGUCAAAUGAUCGAUUUAUUGAUUAAUUUUUUGGAUCAAAUUUAUUUGUUAGUAGUAAAAUAUUAAUAGAAAUGUUAUUAAAUAUUUGUUUUAGGAACAUAAUAUUAAUAUUAAUAUUAAAUCUAAUUCAGCUAUCCAAAUUCAGUUUUCUGUUUUUGUAACAGAAAAUUAACUACCCAUCAAUUUUUCCUUUUUAUUUUUCCUCUUUAUUGUUGAGUAAAUAGUCAUUUAUGUAAUAACAUUUAUGCUUUGGACGUUUUGCAGAAACAACCAUUCUGAAGAAUUGUACCUCUUCAAAUUCCAACUUUUGGCUAUAAAUACAACACUAUUCUCCUUAGAAUUUCACUAUGAUUUUCUAAGUUUCUUCUCCUUCUUUCUGCAUACUUUUAGCAUCAAAUAAAGCAAAAGGAAGUUUGAUUUACUAUCGAACUUUGUAUUCGCUGAAACACUGGAGUUUUAAUUACCACUACACCAGUGUGUAAUUCGUUCUAUCCUGGGAGGAAAUAAUCCAUAACCUUGGGUACUUGGAGGGGAUUAAAUUCCUUAAGGGAACACUGUAAAUUCAGUGGACUCGAAUUGGUUUUCUAUCACUUCUGUUUAUGUUUAUUUCUAUUAUAUUUGUUUAUAUUUUCAGAAUUAUUUUACAAAUACAAUAUACUAACAUGUAUGGAGGUUAAGAAUAAAAGUAAAGGGUGUGUAUCAUUGUAUCACUUGGCUUCUGUACUUGUUGUUGCUUUCGUUUCGGAUUUCUGAUUACAGUACUUACUUUUAGUUUUGUAUUUUUGCUCUGCUUUUCCAAUUUUUAUGCUUGUUGUCUUCCUUAUUUUAUCUUUUCUGAGCCGAGGGUCUAUCGGAAAUAGUCUCUUUGUUUUUUCAGAGGUAGGGGCAAGGUCUGCGUACACUCUAUUCUCCCCAGAUCCCACUAGUGCGAUUAUAUUGGAUUGUUGUUAUUGUUGUUUAACUUUGACUUAAUGGUACAUGUUUAUAUUCAUUAAAUCAAUGCUUACCAUAAAUAUAAGUUAUCUAUCCUAAUACUCAACCAAACGUGAAGCUUGGUCAAAGAUUAGUAUCAUUUUGGAACGAGGGUGUAUGAUUUUGUAUAUUAAGGAUCUAUUAUUUUGUGAAGGCAAUACGAAUUGCAUAGGAGAAAUUAAUGGGCUUCACGAAGGGGACAUGUCCUUUCCUGCGAUAUUUUGGUUUUUUGGGUAAUAUGGUCGAAUGUCUUGUUUCUUGAAUGAGAGUACUGAAAAUCAAGAAUUAUUUGGGCGGCGCAUUAGACAGCUCAUUUCUUCAGAAGAAAUUGAAUUAUUACUCAGUAAUGUAAAAGACAACUCUUGCUUUAUGUCUUUCGCCGGAGUACAUGGGUACUUAUUUACUUUUUAAGUAAUUAUCAUAUACAUUUACGUAAUCCGUAGAAUUUAUAAGGUCUUUGACUAAGCUUUCUUUGAAGUUGAACCUUUGCACACGAAUUGAGUGCAGUAUUAUCAACACUUAAACGGAGUCGAGAGAUACAAAUAACAUUUAGAGGAAGCUACAUAAGACAUGAAGUAAAGUUCAUAGUCGACGCUACGAAACAAUGAACCGCAAAUCAGUACUAAUAUUUUUAGAAAUAGCUAACUCGUCAAAAGCAAAGGCGGAGCCAGGAAUUGAAGGUGGUAGACCGAUGUUGUUUGACUCAAAAGAUAUCGAAACUUUUUUGAAUAAAUCAAUCAAAAAAAAUAAAGGGGUAAAUCUUAGCUAAGUGUAAUAAUCUCUAGAGCAAAAUAUGGAUAAGGAGAUUAUGGAUAAUAAGAAUUCUUUAUCUAUCCAGAUCAACCGAUCUUUUAAAAUAAAUCUUCUCACUCGUUUAUGUAAGCAAAUUUACAGCAAGUAUUCUAGAUCAGCCCAGAAGUCACCAUUUACAAAGUUGUUGGUUUCUAUAUAUAUAAGGAGCGAAACCAUUCUAAGCUGUAAAAGACAAGUUAUAAGGAAUACUCGAAGGAAUAUUCUAAUGUCCCCUAGUGGGCCUGUACUUCUUCGUACUCGUUGACCGUCAUGGUUGGUCAAAUUUGGACCCAUACAGUUAGUCCCUUCGCUUGUCGGGGUUGCAACUGGGUGCGCCCUCGAUGGUCGGACAUCAUGCAUUUCUGUAGAGAAAUUUGAUCCUUCGAGAAGUUACGACAUGGCCAACGGUGGACAGUCAGUGUGCUUAGCAAGAUACCGGGUAAUGCAUUUUACCGAGAAAUGAUUUCAUCUUCACGUGCAUCAUCAUUACGGAUGUUUUUGAGAUAGGAGUUGAUGGCUUGUUGCUUCGAUUAUGGUGACACUCUGUGACCUUCCGCUUUGAUUCUGGCGCUGCCCAAUCAUAUAAAUAGGUGGAGGAUUUGUUUUUUCAAAAGUUCUUGGCCAUUUCAUUUCUGAUUACCUCUCCUUAUUUCUCCGAGCUUGUCCUGACAACCUUCUGCUUCUUCUUCUCACAUUCUUCGUUCACAAUUUCUCCCUCCUUUCUUUUUCCUGCUGUAUCAAUACCUUUUUUAAUGAAAGCAUGCCAAGAUCACACCGAUCUCGUGGAGGGGUUCUUAAGGUCGCCCUAUUGUCCAUGGUGCCCCCCUUCGGGCGGUGAAGAUAUGGUAGUAGAAGAAGGUGAUAGCCUUUCUACGGUGGAGGAGUUGCUGCCGAGACACCCCAUGUCUCGAAGUGACUUCCUCAAAGAUCCCCCUUCUACUCCUACCCCCGUACUCUUUGAGACAGAACAAGUUCACAUUGACGCUCUCCGUGCAAAGUAUGGUGUUCCUGAUCACGUUGACAUGGUAUCAUCAGGGAGAGAUUUCGUUGAGGUCCACAGACCUGGGCACUACACUUUCUACGAGUAACCUUUCGAGAUUUUCUGUACUUUUCCCCUCCUCCCAUUAGCGGAAGAGUUCUGUAGGUUUUACCAAGUUUUCCCGGCACAACUUUCGCUGUAUAUGCUCAAGAUACUUCUGCUAUUGACCAAAUAUGCGUAGUUGACGGAAUGUGAUAUUUCUAUCCACCAUCUUUUGCACUUGUCCUCGCCUAGCUUGCACAGGGGUACCAUGGUGCAUUUGAGGCACUGUGGCACAAAAGGGCUGGUGGUUGGGACAGACGAUCGAGCAAGCCGCAAGUUUUGGCACAAGUACUUCUUUGUCAAAAUCGAACACAUUAUUUCUGACCCCGCCAGGUUUCCAGAGCUAUGGAAUGAGAGUCGUAAAUAUCGCCACUCUCUUUACUCUUCAUUCACCUAUAUUCAUUGUAAAGUUGUUUGCUUCUUGUUUGCAGCUAUGGGAUGUCCGCCCCGCCUUAUUGCUGGCAUAAGAGAUUGGGUAGCCCGUCUGUUGCCCCAUGUAGCAGAAACUCAAGAUUGACCCGCCUUCGUAAAGCAUUACGUCCCUAAAGUUCCAUCUGGUAAAUGUUUUCCCCUUACCACUUUGUUGGAUAUAUAUCGUCGUCUAUUAAUAUGAUUCUUCGUGACGGCAGGUCAAGGAGCUUUUAGGUGGAGGGCGCCAGUCCCUGCAUUCCGACAGGCCGUUGCUACCACACGAAUGCAGUUUACUUUGAAUGAGUCUGUUUGAAAGGGCCGUCCUCAAACGAUUCAAGUGGAAGGUUCCUCUCGAGUCAUGGUUGUGAGGGAGGACGCUUCUUCAGUACCGACCCGACACCUCUUUGAUGAAUCUUCCAAUGGGGAUGAGCUAUUGUCGAGAAAAAGGAGGGGAAUAGAGCUCGGGAAGGAUGUAGCCAAGGACGCUGAUAGAAGAAGGGCGUCGCAGAUGGCACCUGUACCCAUAUUUAUGGGCGACACCAUUUUAUCGGGGAUAUCUCCCCAAAGGGAAGGAGUUUGCCCAGGAGCCAGCUCCGUGCACUCUGUCGAGGGUGGCGUAUCGUCCAACAUUGAAAGUCGUCGUGUUGAGGGUGAAUCAUGUUCAGAUGUCAACCAGGAGGAUGUUAACGAGUUUGUAGGUUGCCAUACUCACGUGGAGGUCAGGGCAUAAGGGUAUGAUCGUCACAAAGUUAUCUCAUGGGAUUACAACUUCUUGUUGAAUUGUGAGCAAGUGGCGUCUGUUUUUGCUCCUUUUUGUGCUGCCCCUGAAAACGAGGUGCUUAGAGCGAUGAGUGACAUGGAGUUGUCUUAGAACGUCGCUGGUAUGGCCUUGCGGAGGUGCCUUUCUUUUCCUUUUCGUCUUUGGGCUUGUGUGGCGAUUGUCGACCUGUAUUUUGUUUAAAUUUUUCUUUUUCUUUUGUGCCAGACCCUUAUCAUGGAGACCAAGAGCAAGCGUCAGGAGAGGAAGGGGACGGCCAUCGAUGGGAAGAUGUCGUCCAAGUAUCAACGGUAUCGUGCUAAGCACCGUAUGAUGACCUAUAUUUAUAAUAAGGACCUGAAUUUCAGUUGUUUCGUGAAGGGCUCAAACAGAGAGAGGACCAACUAGAGUGCAAGAUCAAAGAGAUCAGGGAGCAUGAUGAGGAGCUUAUGAAGGUUUUCACUCGUAAUAGUGAACUUGAGGCCUCCCUUAAGGUGAUGGAGGAUGAGCUUGAGUUGAGCAGGGGGUGAUGGCCAAGAAUGAGGAUUUACAAUCAAAGGAGGCCAGUUUAACUGCCGAAUUGAGUGCAAAGGCGGUGGAGAUUGAGGGGCUUGAGGGCGAGCUGAACGUUGGUGCUGAUAAGUUGGCGGAAACUGUUUCUGGAAUGACGUCCUAGGAGAAUGCCUUCCGUGUUUGUAGGUCGAAGCUGACUGAGGAGAAGGAGGCCUCUAUUCUUAAGGUCGCAGGGCUUGAAGUGCGUGUUAAAGAGUUUGAGGUGGGGCUAUCUGCGUUGAAUGGUUAAGUGUCCUGGCUGAGAGCAGAGGAUGCAAGUUUGCGCUCUCAACCUUCUACGUCUCGUGCCUUGGUCGAUCUGGUCGUGCCUCAUCGCUUAUAUGAGUUUUAGCUCCUUGCUGAGGCCCGGCUUCACAUGUACUAGGCUUUCCACGCCGAGGGGAGGGAAAAAAAAGCGGAACUUCAGUCCGUGCAUAUCUAAGCUCGUGCAGCUUGUGAGGCAUACGGGUACGACCCUCGCACGCCUGAUGUGGAUGACAUCAACUCUGAUGAUGCAAGUUGUCUUGCUUCUACUCUUGGUACAAAGAUGCUUACCCCACCGGGUGUCACACCUCUUUUUUCCUACACCUCGCAAGGGGCGUAAGAGAGUUUUUUCACUUAAAGGACAAUCGGAACGAGAUUUAAUAUUAGAAUUCAUAGUCGCCACUUAGGAGAUUGAUGGUGUCCCAAGUCAUCAGUUGAAUCUCGAGCUGAGAAAAAAUAUGACUCUAUUAAUAGUCCGCAAACCAAAAAUCCGAGUAAUGAAUUCUGUUAACCCAGGAGAAGGUGUUAGGCAUUCCCGAGUUUCGUGAUUCUAGCAUGGUUGCAUAACUUUCCUAUUUGGUUUUAUCUGAUUUCAAAACAUGUUUUAGCGUAUGUGCUUUUAACCUUAAACCGCUUUUAUUAUUAUUUUAAAUGAGAAUUGCAACGUCGUGAAAACGUGUCUCGGACCACGUCACAUAAAUGCACCCGUGAUUGUUGACACAUUUCAACUUCGUUGUUAUUUGGAUUUGGGUCACAUAAAUAUGCACCCGAGUUUAGGAAAGUAAUGUUAUUAAAAUGCGUUCCAAAAUAGACUAACGCAUUAUUAUUUUUGGGGAAGGCCGUGAAAUUUGCUAAACGGUCCAUCCCAAAACCUACGUAUUUUAAUAUAACCAUUUAUCGAAGGUCCCGCAAUUUUACAUUUUUUAUUUGGCGAGGCUCAUCUCAUUUUAUUUAAAGGACAAUCCUAAAGCGACUAUGAUUUUUCUAUUUUUGUGCGUCUCUAAAAUAAAAGAAAAGGUCCUAACAAUUUAUUAUUGCUUAACAAUUAACUACGUUUAGCUCCACAAACUCAAAACAUCCCGCGUGCAUAAAUCAUAACCCAGGUCCGGUACAACAUGGAACAGUCGCAGGCUUGGGCCUAGGCCCUCAAACGAAUAUGCAAAUCAGGCCUGGGUCAAUCAUUUAGGCGCUGAGACUACACCAUUUGCAAAUGGGCUAUCGAGCCCCAACAAAGUUUCAAUUCACUUAAGAUAGGUGUCCGUUGAAGUUGUUUCCAAUUAUCUUACUCAAGGUGACAGUGAACGAUGUGAUUCCAGUUUCACACCUAAGUUCUGUUAAUUGACGCCCGAAUUUGUCUGUGGGGACACUCACGCAAUUUGAAUUUUAAAACGGUGAAAAGACGAGUUAAACUCAAGUUCAACCCCCAUAUCCCAACUAACAAAUUUAUAUUUGCCUACAACUACAAUACUCCUGUUAUACCUUCUACAUAAUUAACAGACAAACUCAAAUAGCCAAUUAUCUUUGAAUUAGAAGCCUUCAUCCUACUGGAUCUCAAAUCAGUCUAAAACAGUUCAGUCAAGUGCUAAUUAAUCGUAGAAUGAAAAUGAGAACAAAUUGCCAAAAGCUCUCCCACAUUUCUAAGUCAACUUUUUUUUAACAAAUUUCUGAAAUAACUUACCGGAAAUCAACUAAACCUAACAUAAACCAUUACAUUAAUCUAGUCAUGAAGUUAAGAGCACUUGUUCUCAACAUAAGAAGAAUUUGUUAUGUGUUUGAGUACUGCAGUCCACUUAUUACAAAACCAAACAGAAAUACACAUACAUCAGUGACUUAAGUGAUUAGCUACAUGAAUCAGGAAGAAAACUCAAUCAAAAUACAUGUUUCAAUUCUUCAUAUAUUCAUGCUUCAUAGUUUUAGCUCACAAUUAUCAAAGUCAAGUUGUGUACCUGGAAAUUAAUUUACAAUGGAAGAAGCAGAAAGAUCAGCAACGGCAGUAACAAAUGUAAAAGCAAAUCGACAGUUACCAAGAACAAAUAGAGACAAAUUCAAGGGUAAACCACAGUCCAAAUGCCCAAGAAGAAGGUAACGUAACCAAAAUACUAAAUCUACUCGGAAUUAGACUAGGCAGUGGCAGAACACCUUUAAGCAAUCAAAUAAUACCCAGCAACACUUGAACAAAUCACCAAAUACCUUCAAAUGCUCUGAACACCUAAGUACAGAACAGAAAUAGAUAGAUUUGAACUGUUUAUGAUCUUAAAAUCAAUAUAACAAAAAUUGUUCAAUGGAAUAAUAACCUCUCUCAAAAUAUGUUCAGUUUCGCCUAAAGAACUCUAAAACUCUCAAAAACUGACCUCUCAAACUCUCAAAAUGAUGUUUGCCUCAAAACUCUCUUUUCAGGUCUCAAAACUCUAUAUAGAACUCUCAGUAUUUUUUUCCCAAUGUUUUCAAGCUCUAUCAGAUUAUCUCUCCCACUCUAAAAUCUCUCAAAAUGAUCCUUUUAAACUGCCUCUAAAACUAGCUGCAAUCUUUGAAGUCCUCUCCCUGUGUCUUUCUGUACCUCUCUAUAUUUAUACCCAACCCUUAAACCCUUUCCAGCCCCUCUUUUUUUCUUUACAGUUGUACCUCUAGACCUUUUAUUAUUACCUCCGUGUUUUUUGACUUUCCAUCUUGUAUAUUCCUUUACUAUGUGUGCCUCUUUAACCUUUUAUAAUUAACCUAUACUGUUUCUGAUUUCCAAUUUAGUAAAAGCACUAGACCAAACCAACAAUCCUCUCUUCUUUCGUUAAUUCGAAAGGUUAUUUUUACUAGCAACUUCAAUUCUUCAUUAAACCCCAACUACCCACAUUAUCCCCUAUAAGGACUAUUCACAUGUUAAGGCUUAAAAAUAGAUCAACAGAUUCAAAAGAGAUGCAGAUAUUCUGAUAACUGAAAAUAAACUAAUCAUGUGUAAAACAUACAAACAUUUAUAGAACCAUGUAAAAGAACAUUCAAAAAGAAAUUGCAAACAACUUAUCAUGUUUAACUAAGAAAUGAUUUAAAUGAUUAAAACUUAAAGUAACUUGACAUGAAAUGUUCACAUUUGUUGUUCUCAGCAAAUAAAAACACAAACAGACCAAAACUUCAUAUAAUAAAAGGACAAGCACAUGAUAAGAAUCGUGAAUUUCAACCUAUGGGAAACGGAUGAGGAGGAAGAUGCACAAAAUAAAACAUAAAAAAACAGAAACACUUACAAGAAUCGAACACAUUAUUCCGUUCCAAAGACCUUCCUACUUUUUUGGUUGAAACGGACUCCAUUCGUAUGUUUUUGUUCGACUGAAAAUACACGAUUAUAGCCUAUUUCAACUUAACUCUUGAAAUCUUUAAUAAAUAGUGCUUUUGUGGAUUCAAGGUUCAACUUUCGAUCUAAAAUUCAAAAGGUUCUACGAUGAUUCAAGGAAAAAUAACGUGGUAUUUGGGACGAGGAAAGCCUGAUGGUUCAGGAGUGCGGGUUUGGGACUGAUUGGGUAAGCUAAGGUUUAGUGUCCAGAUUUUGAUUUAAGAUUCGACGAGCUUGGCCAAGGUUUGGAGGAAGAGGUUUGGUGAUCUGGAAAGAGGGUAGCUAGGCAAUGUUAUGAUGUUAAUUUGGAGGUGAACGGAGGCGACGCCUCUGGGUUUUGAGCGGUGAAAAGGGGUGGCGGCUCGCUAAGGUUUGGGGAAUUUGGACUCUUAUGAGCAGAGACGAAGGAAGGGGAGGGGUUCUAAGGGGGUGGGGUCUGUUU